UCUUUGCUGAAGGCUCCACAACGCAGAUUCAUUUGUCUUUUUAGGGAUUGACGCAACUGCAAUUUAAAUGUGGGUGGCUGCACAUCCAUAAUUGCGCUGUGUGACAUGGGAAUGUAUGGCCAUACCAGGUGGAGAAGAGGGGAUGAACGCCAUCUGCUUACUGUACCCCAGAAACACAGCCUCUUCUGCUUACCGCCUUGGUGGGCCAAGGAGAAGCAGCCCGAGGACUCUUCUGCCUUAUGGAGCUCUGCUGGUUUCCACGUGGCUUUGGAUAGAUGUUGCCAGAUCCGUCCCGCUGCCUGACCACCCCCUGCUGUCCAGGAUCUCGGCUCAGCAGAAGUGGAAGGAGGGAAGCCUACAUUCUGGAAUUGAUACAUGUUCACAGAGGAAAUCAGAAUGUUAUCUGCAGUGUCAAAUUGCUAUUAAUCCAAGAAGAAAAAACCUGCUUGCAACCUUUCAUGAGAAGAUUGGUGGUAGGUGUUCAUCGUCUCGGGAGCACGUGUUUUAGCACAGCUGUUCUUCUCAUGCACGCACCUUGAUGUUCGCCCGGUGCAAAAUGUUUAAUGUUGCUUUUGCUUGAAUUCUUUGUCUGGUGUGUGGCUGUUCUUGGGAGCAUGUCCAAGGCAAACUAAAUGCCGAGACCGCACAUAGUUGAUGGAACAUGCCAUCAUUACACCACGGUGCAAACCAUCUUGUACUGUAACUGGUGGCCUCCUCUGGCAAGGUAAGGAACGUAGAGGAACAAACGUAAACCUCUUGCUGCUUCUUCUGAAAGCUUUUAAAUGUAAAGCAUGCUGGGUUUAUUAAGCAGAUCUAUAGAUUUUUUAAUCUGUUAGAGGAAGGGUGCCUACAGGUGUGGCUAACUUUCU
rnacentral:lncRNA from 1 species